ACAGCAGUAGCCGCGGUAAUACAGAGGGUGCGAGCGUUAAUCGGAUUUACUGGGCGUAAAGCGUGCGUAGGCGGCUUCUUAAGUCGGAUGUGAAAUCCCUGAGCUUAACUUAGGAAUUGCAUUCGAUACUGGGAAGCUAGAGUAUGGGAGAGGAUGGUAGAAUUCCAGGUGUAGCGGUGAAAUGCGUAGAGAUCUGGAGGAAUACCAAUGGCGAAGGCAGCCAUCUGGCCUAAUACUGACGCUGAGGUACGAAAGCAUGGGGAGCAAACAGGAUUAGAGACCCGUGUAGUCCCUGUCUCUUAUAC
rnacentral:rRNA from 1 species